GCGCCCAUGGUGAAAUGGAUAUCACAUGAGAUUUCGGCUCUCACGUUCUGGGUUCGAAUCCUGGUGGGCGCGCCA
rnacentral:tRNA from 1 species